UUAUGGCCAUAUUUAAACACUGGUUCACGAGCGAUCACCGAAGUUAAGCAACGUCGAGAUUGGUCAGUAUCUUGAUGGGUGACCACUUGGGAAUACCACAUGCUGUAAG